rnacentral:lncRNA from 1 species
GCUGGGAGUGGGGGUGGGGUGGGGGUCUGGAGGACAGGGACAGGACAGGACAGGACAGGACACCUUCCUUGGUUUUUGGUCUCAUUUUGUUCAUCUCAGGUCUCUGCUGAGUUCACACUGUUGCCUUUGGUGAACUUCAACCCUGAAUAAAACCUUUCUUUUGGGCGUGACGCUGGGGACUAAAGCCGGUCUUCACACAUACUAGGCAAGUGUUCUUUCUACCAACGAGGUACAUCCCUAGGCCUUCUAUGUACUUCUGAUUUUUGAGAGAAUCAAAAGUCUGUGUGAAACGCUGAUUUUGGACUUUGGUUCUCUGGCUUCCGCUUCCAGAGUGCUGAGGUAAGUGUGUUCCACCAUGCUGCGUUCCUGAUAUUUGCCUCACAGCAAAGUUAAAAAAACUGUUCGUGUUCUCUGUUUAUGUAGCGAGCUCUGUAUAUCCCUCAGGAGUUCCUCCAAAGGAAUGAGCCUGUAACAUCAUUGUACAGGGAGCCAUCAGAAACAGGCUCAGCACUGCUAAGCUACUCUUCCCUGAUCCACAGACUUGAAUUUUUAUCAUUAUCUGGACUGAUUUAGGCUCAUAGAAAAGCCUUUAUUUUCCUUCAAACUUUUGAGCGUUCUGUCACUGGCUCGCUGGCAGAAGAUUAAGAAAGAGACACAUAAACAAUUAACAAAGAAACAGUAAUGGAAAAAGUGAACCCUCGCCAGUCAUGCCUGCACAACUGUUUUAUCAUCUGCACUUGUAAUUUUUUUCUUUUACGUUAUGUUUUAUGGUGUGUAAAUUUAGUUAAGGUGACACUUUAGCUAAACAAGUGCUUUUGUGUGAGUUCACAGUUUAUAUGAUACUAUGAAAUAUUUGGACAGUGAGUGCCCUUCAGCAAAAAAGCGCCAUGACGUCCAGGAUCUCUCCCUCCAAAGCCAUCUGCUGUACAGAGAUGGAAGAGGAAGAAAAACCAUAGCUGGAAUUUCCAGGCCCGGGUUUGCUAAUGAGUUGCUGGUGAGACCGUGGUAGACUUUUGUAUAUUAAAUAUGCGAUCCUAUGUUUUCAUUGUUUUGUUUUCAGAAAGGCUGUCCUGGAACUCACCACAUAGACCAACCUGGUCUCUAUCUCACAGGGACCCAUCUGCCUCUUUGUGUUGAGAUUAGCAAUUGUUCUUAUUACUGAAUUUCUUUUUCUUUCCGAGACAGGGUUUCUCUGCAUAGCCCUGGCUGGCCUGGAACUCACUUUGUAGACCAGGCUGGCCUCGAACUCAGAAAUCCGCCUGCCUCUGCCUCCCGAGUGCUAGGACUAAAGGCAUGCACCACCACGGCCGCCCGGCUGAGUUAUUCAGGUUUUAUUCAAGAUUGAAGUUCACCACUUGAGUCCUCUCUCCAGCCCCAGACUGGCUUUAGCCUGCCAUCCUUUUGCCUUCGUUUCUGGAGGCUGAGAUUACAGACAUGCAUCACCACGCACAACCCUGCUGAUUUUGGUCUUUGUCAUAUUUGAUGUCGGUGUUAUUCUGGCUCGGCAAGAAGAAUUUGGGCGAUUUUACUGCUUACUUGACUCUGAAAUA